UCCUGGCUGGCUCAGAUGGUAGAGCAUGAGAUUCUUGAUCUUGGGGUUGUGAGUUGGAAACCCAUGUUGGGUG
rnacentral:tRNA from 1 species